rnacentral:rRNA from 1 species
UACGGAGGGGCUAGCGUUGUUCGGAAUUACUGGGCGUAAAGCGCACGUAGGCGGCUUUGUAAGUUAGAGGUGAAAUCCCGGGGCUCAACCUCGGAACUGCCUUUGAUACUGCAAAUCUUGAGUCCGGAAGAGGUGAGUGGAAUUCCUAGUGUAGAGGUGAAAUUCGUAGAUAUUAGGAAGAACACCAGUGGCGAAGGCGGCUCACUGGUCCGGUACUGACGCUGAGGUGCGAAAGCGUGGGGAGCAAACAGG